rnacentral:rRNA from 1 species
UACGAAGGGUGCAAGCGUUACUCGGAAUUACUGGGCGUAAAGCGUGCGUAGGUGGUUCGUUAAGUCUGAUGUGAAAGCCCUGGGCUCAACCUGGGAAUGGCAUUGGAAACUGGCGACCUAGAGUGCGGUAGAGGGUAGUGGAAUUCCCGGUGUAGCAGUGAAAUGCGUAGAGAUCGGGAGGAACAUCCGUGGCGAAAGCGGCUCUCUGGAACGGUACUGACGCUGAGACGCGAAAGCGUGGGGAGCGAACAGG